rnacentral:rRNA from 1 species
ACGUACGCUGGCGGCACGCCUAACACCUGCAAGUCGAAACGCAGUAGCAUACUGAGUCGGCAAACGGCGUGAGUAUAAUGUGGGAAUCUGCCUUUUGGUUUGGAAUAACACGGGGAAACUUGUGCUAAUACCGAAUAAGCCCUUACGGGGAAAGUUUUAACGCCGAAAGAUGAGCCCGCACUUGAUUAGCUAGUUGGUAAGGUAAAAGCUUACCAAGGCAAUGAUCAAUAGCUGUUCUUAGAGGAAGACCAGCCACAUUGGGACUGAGACACGGCCCAGACUCCUACGGGAGGCAGCAGUGGGGAAUCUUGCACAAUGGGGGAAACCCUGAUGCAGCGAUGCCGCGUGAGUGAAGAAGGCCUUUGGGUUGUAAAACUCUUUCGUCGGGGAAGAAAAUGACUGUACCCGAAUAAGAAGGUCCGGCUAACUUCGUGCCAGCAGCCGCGGUAAUACGAAGGGACCUAGCGUAGUUCGGAAUUACUGGGCUUAAAGAGCUCGUAGGUGGUUAAAAAAGUUGAUGGUGAAAUCCCAAGGCUCAACCUUGGAACUGCCAUCAAAACUUUUUAGCUAGAGUGUGAUACGAGGUAAGUGGAAUUUCUAGUGUAGAGGU